CAAGCGGUGGAGCAUGUGGUUUAAUUCGACGAUACGCGAAGAACCUUACCUGGCCUUGACAUAGAAAGAACUUACUAGAGAUAGUUUGGUACUAGCUUGCUAGAACUUUCAUACAGGUGCUGCACGGCUGUCGUCAGCUCGUGUCGUGAGAUGUUGGGUUAAGUCCCGCAACGAGCGCAACCCUCGUGUUUAGUUACUAACAGUUCGGCUGAGGACUCUAGACAGACUGCCUGGGUAACCAGGAGGAAGGUGAGGACGACGUCAAGUCAUCAUGGCCCUUACGGCCAGGGCUACACACGUGCUACAAUGGGGUAUACAAAGAGCCGCAAUACCGUGAGGUGGAGCAAAUCUCAUAAAAUAUCUCCCAGUUCGGAUUGAAGUCUGCAACUCGACUUCAUGAAGUUGGAAUCGCUAGUAAUCGUGAAUCAGCAAGGUCACGGUGAAUACGUUCCCGGGUCUUGUACUCACCGCCC
rnacentral:rRNA from 1 species